CGCCGCCCCCGCCGCCCCCGCCGCCCCCGCCGAAACCCAAAGAGCCUGUCAAGAUUAUCUGCUGCUUCAAGCCGUGGCCAGACUGCUGCUUCCGGCCAUGCCCUUGUUUCGAGGCAAGCAAAGGCUGUCGCCGGUGCUGCUCCUGUGGUUGGAUGUGCUGCGUUCGAGAGCCGGUCUGUGUUCCACCGCCCAACCCCUGCCCGUCGUGUUGCCCUCCCAGGGCUUGCCCAUCGGACCACUGCUGCUCCAAGCCAAGCCCGCCGCCGAAUCCAUGUUUCCAUGGCUACAAGUUUGUCUACGAGGAGGGGCCGCCGCCAGAUCCAUGCACCAUUAUGUAAUCUUUAAUCGACCUCUCGUCUGUCCUUUGGUUCCAAUUCCCGUACUUUCAUUCGGCCGCUGAAGAGUAGUGCAAGCGACGAAAGACGUAAAUAAGAUCGUAAUGCCGACAAGAUCAUCCCAUCCGAUCUUGUGGAUUAUGAUGAAAGAAAGAUCCAAGAAGCUUAGUUUUCGAUGUCUGUACUUGAGUGGAAGUUCGUGUUUCUAUUUGUGUCAGCUUUGUUCUUUCAAGCCAUUUGAAUUAUGGGUUCUUGGUUUUCUAAAUGAUUUUAUCAGUACUCUAAUCAAGGUGUAACUUUAUCAGUGUUUUAAUCAAGAUGCACAACUCGAGCAUCAUUUUUAGGCGAUGAGUGUAUCCAUACGAUUUUGUCAUUUCAAAACAUAUGAACUUCAAAAAAUAUUUUUAAAUGUAAAAGAGAUAUGAUGGGAGCUCUUGAUUCCCAUAAUCCUCAACCAAUGUGAGACUAAAUAACCUUAUCAGAAACCAAACAAUCUACUCAAAUGAUGUCUUGUAUAUCUUCACCUGAUGCAAAUUCAAUACGGUCCAAAUGAAUUAAAAUUACCCACGGAAAACAGAACCAAAGGAAGCCUAAACGAGCAGAAUCAAUCACAAAAUGCAUUCAUUCACCAAGCUCAUAUUUCGCCCAGGAGGGGAAAGGAACGAUGAUACCGAACUGGUGGCGGAGAGUGGUACCACGAGAGGCGGUUUGUUGGCUUUGACGGCGGCGACGCCGAGGUCGAGGCAGCAGCGGAAGGCGACCUGCAUCGGAAUAGCUACAGCAGGUUGCCGCGGGGGUCGUCGUCGACCGCUGUCGCCCAGCCAAAUUAAU
rnacentral:lncRNA from 1 species